AGUGAACGCUGGCGGUAGGCCUAACACAUGCAAGUCGAACGGCAGCACAGUAAGAGCUUGCUCUUACGGGUGGCGAGUGGCGGACGGGUGAGGAAUACAGCGGAAUCUACUUUUUCGUGGGGGAUAACGUAGGGAAACUUACGCUAAUACCGCAUACGACCUACGGGUGAAAGCAGGGGAUCUUCGGACCUUGCGCGAUUGAAUGAGCCGAUGUCGGAUUAGCUAGUUGGCGGGGUAAAGGCCCACCAAGGCGACGAUCCGUAGCUGGUCUGAGAGGAUGAUCAGCCACACUGGAACUGAGACACGGUCCAGACUCCUACGGGAGGCAGCAGUGGGGAAUAUUGGACAAUGGGCGCAAGCCUGAUCCAGCCAUACCGCGUGGGUGAAGAGGGCCUUCGGGUUGUAAAGCCCUUUUGUUGGGAAAGAAAAGCAGCAGGUUAAUACCCCGCUGUUCUGACGGUACCCAAAGAAUAAGCACCGGCUAACUUCGUG
rnacentral:rRNA from 1 species